AUUUCUCUGAGGUGUUCGCCAGCGGGUCAGUCCCCUGAGCCGAUAUUUCAUACCACAAGAAUGUGGCGAUUCCUGACCGGUGCGCAUGCUCGGCUCGUCCGAGAAGCCUUAAGGUCUCGACGCUGCGUUCACCUUGAACCAAGGGUUCAAGGGUUACAGCCUGCGGCGGCAUCUCGGAGAUCCC
rfam:Sodalis praecaptivus strain HS1, complete genome.